AUUGAACGCUGGCGGCAUGCCUUACACAUGCAAGUCGAACGGCAGCACGGGGCAACCUGGUGGCGAGUGGCGAACGGGUGAGUAAUGCAUCGGAACGUACCUUUCAGUGGGGGAUAACGUAGCGAAAGUUACGCUAAUACCGCAUAUUCUGUGAGCAGGAAAGCAGGGGAUCGCAAGACCUUGCGCUGAUUGAGCGGCCGAUGUCAGAUUAGCUAGUUGGUGAGGUAAAGGCUCACCAAGGCGACGAGCUGUAGCGGGUCUGAGAGGAUGAUCCGCCACACUGGAACUGAGACACGGUCCAGACUCCUACGGGAGGCAGCAGUGGGGAAUUUUGGACAAUGGGGGCAACCCUGAUCCAGCCAUGCUGCGUGAGCGAAGAAGGCCUUCGGGUUGUAAAGCUCUUUCGGCCGGGAAGAAAUCGCAUGGGCUAAUACCCUGUGUGGAUGACGGUACCGGAAUAAGAAGCACCGGCUAACUACGUGCCAGCCGCCGCAGUAACAC
rnacentral:rRNA from 1 species